UGCAGUAGGGACGUGUGGCCACGAUAUCCAUAGUGAGGCUGGGCACAAAGAGCUCAGCACUUGUGCCCUUUUCGGAGGUCACUGGGGAGUCAGUGACUGUGCCGGUAAGAUGAGGGCGAGAGAACUGGCCAGGAGGCCUGCAGGAGGUGUGGUGGGGGGCUCCAUCAUCUCUGGUGUCUCUGAGGUGGGCAAGACCAGGGCCCUGAGGAUGGAGAACCCGGCCUGCUCGCUCAUUGCGGCCCCAGGAAGGUGAUGGCGAGUGGGUGCCAGGCCUCCUCUCAAGCCAAUGGGGACACCGCCCUGGAAGUGCCUCUGGGCUCUGCCCUCGAGUGGGCUGGGGACUGGCUGCGGGCAGCUCUGUUUGGAGACAAGCUGGUGUCCAAGCAGAUGCCAGGCAUGUUUCUGCCCCGCAGGGUCCCGGCCGUCUGCCCCCUGUGAGUGACGUGAAUGCUGCCAGCCUGCAUUUCUACACUUUCCUGAGGGGAUGGUGACACCUCCCUCCUACCCAGAUCCCCUCCUCCCUCAGGGGCUCCCUCUUCCCCAGGGAUGCCCUCCUGGCCUCGCUCUCCCUUUCCUCAGCCCCAUGGGUCCUGCUUCCUUCCCUGGCCCCUCUGUCCGUCUGUCUUCUUUGUCCCUGUCCCCUCUUCACAGUCACUGUUGCUCUGGCCUGGAUGAGGGCAGCAGCCUCCCCUAUGGCCUCCCUGUCUGCUCUCCAGCCAGCUCCGUGCAUGAUCAAGUGUGCUUGCCCCUGGACCUGCCCUUGAGUGCCCCCAUGACAGCCCCACCCUGUCUCCUUGGCGUCCUGGCCCUCCGAUGUCUGCUGUAGCCUUCAUUGCUUAUGUGCCUGGGCUCGUCUUGGGUGGUGUCGCUUGUCCCGCCUGUGAAGUGCCAAUCUUGCCGCACUCAUCACAGGCAACACUCCUCGGAGCCACCUCCUCCUGCAGCUCUGGCCUUUGCACAUGUGCCUCCUGUUCUGAAAUGCCUGACUCCCGCUGACCCUGAAAGACCCACCAAGGCAGCAGCUCUUGGCCCCACCUCCACUCUUUAAGCCUCAGUUCACCCCCGUGUGAAGUGGGCAUGAUCCUCUUUUCCCCUUUUACCUGGACACAGACUUAGGCUUUUAAUUGACUAUAAGCAGAUAAGUUAUCUGAGACCAAUGAAGAAGGGAUCUAAAGUGCUAAUGUUACCUUGGCUGCAUUAAUAGCAGUAUGGAGUCCAAAUAAGAGAAGUGGACCAUCUUGUUAUGUCCAUGACCUGCCAGACGGCUCUGGAAGCAUUGUGAUCACUUCCCAUGCUUUGCUUUAGGCAGGUUGUUUUAGUUAACUUUCUCAUUGCUGAGACAAAAUAUCUGACACCUAAAGUUGAAGAAAAAGUUUAUUUCAGCUCACAGUUUGUAGAAGUUUCAGUCCAUGGUUGGCUGGUUCCAAGGUAGAUUGGCAUGGCAGAAGGGGAUCACAGAGGAGAAAGGGUCAAUGGCAGAGAAGGCAGGAGGCAGUAAGCAAGCAAGGAAGCAGCCUCCCUUUCUCUUUUAUCCCAUCUAGGCUACAAGCCUUCUGGGAGGUGCCAACUGCACCCAGGGCAGGCCUUCCCAUUAUCUACACCCAGAACUGUGCUAAACCAAUUGGUAGAGUAAUCCAGUUAUACACCCUUAAUCCCAGUGUCAAACACCCUAGCUCCAGCUACCUCUGAAAAGCCUCACCUAUGAGAACAUGAGACUUUGGGGGACCAUCUAGCUACAAGCCAUAACAGGGAGUGUUGACUAAGUGGACUUUAUCAUUGAUGCUUUUGUCCCAGUUCAUUGAUUUUGUUUUCUGUUUGUCAAACAUAUAUAUGCCAGACACUACAUAUGUAUUGCUAUAUUUAACCUAGAAAGUAUUAUUAUGAUCCUCUAAUAAAUGAAGAAGAACUCACAAUUUAUUUGGUAUUAAAAUCAUACCUGUGGUAGGCAGAACAAUGGCCCCCAAUGAUGUCCCCGGAUACUCUAGUCCCUGGAACCUGGGAGGUUCAGUCACUACCGAAAACCCCUUUAGCAAAAGGGAAUUUACAGAGAUGAUUAAAGUUAUAGACCUUGAGACGAGAGAUUUUUUUUUUUUCCGGAUGUUCAGAUGGGUUCACUCUAAUCACAGAGUCCUUAAAAGAGGAGAACCUUUUCCCAGCUGUGGAUCAAGAAGGAUGUGACACCCAAAAGGGUCUCAGAGAGUGGCUGGCCUUCAAGAAGGAAGGAGGACCCACAAGUCAAGGAAUGCAGGAUGCAGCUGGCCAGGGAGAAUGUUGAGAAGAGGGAAUCCCUUGGUGUCCUG
ensembl:lncRNA